rnacentral:rRNA from 1 species
GACAACGCUGGCGGCGCGCCUAAUGCAUGCAAGUCGAGCGACGCAUGCUCGGUGGGUAACCACUGGGUAUGACGGAGCGGCGAACGGGUGAGUAACACGUGAGUAACCUGCCCCGAAGAUCGGGAUAGCCCGGGGAAACCCGGAUUAAUACCGAAUACCCUCUCUGGAUCGCAUGGUCCGGUGAGGAAAUGCCUUUGUGCUUCGGGAUGGACUCGCGGCCUAUCAGCUAGUUGGUGAGGUAACGGCUCACCAAGGCAACGACGGGUAGCUGGUCUGAGAGGACGAUCAGCCACACUGGGACUGAGACACGGCCCAGACUCCUACGGGAGGCAGCAGCAGGGAAUCUUGUCCAAUGGGCGCAAGCCUGAGACAGCGACGCCGCGUGAGGGAUGAAGGCCUUCGGGUUGUAAACCUCUUUCAGGAGGGACGAAAUUGACGGUACCUCCAGAAGAAGCCCCGGCCAACUACGUG